GCCUGAACUUUCUCAUCCAACACCCGUUCAAGUCGGAGGAUGCUGAUUAAUUCAUGAUGGAAAGGUAUCAAUUUCACAGCCCAGACCUCUACAUUCUUGAAAUGCUCUUCUCAUGGGAGACAUUAAAUAAGCUUUGAAUUAACUUGCCAUGACACCCAGGAUGCAGCUGUAGGAACACCACUGGGUCCCUGGAUGUCAUGUAAGCCCUUAAGUAAAAGUGCCAUCAAAUGAUUUCUCAGAAAUUAUAAAGAAACAAAAGGACCAUAAACAAGAUAAGGUGGCAUGAGGAAACAUUACAAGUACCUUUCAGAGCUGACUGGCAAAGAAACUCCUGAGGUGACGGUUCUACCCCAAUAUUACUUCUUCGAAGAGCAACCUAACUGGACUUAUCUUCCUCAGUUCUCUGUGAUGAACUUUUGUAGAGCCAUACGAAAGGAGGUUUUUAGCUCUCACCUGUGGUCUUUCUUCAUCAUGCACCUCCUAGAUUCAAAAGUUCAGCAGGGACAUGUCAAGCUAUAUAAAUAAAAACAAACUAAGAAAAAAUGUAACAUUCCAUACCUUAAAACGCAACCUUAAUAACGUGAAAGACCCU
ensembl:lncRNA SATB1-AS1 SATB1 antisense RNA 1